rnacentral:rRNA from 1 species
CAAAAACAUGUCUUUUUGAUUUUAAUUUAAAGUCUUGCCUGCCCAAUGAUUAAUUUAAUGGCCGCAGUAUUUUGACUGUGCAAAGGUAGCAUAAUCAUUAGUUUUCUAAUUGAAAGCUGGAAUGAAUGGUUUGAUGAAAAAUAAACUGUCUCUUUAUAAAUUUUUUAAAAUUUUAAUUUUGAGUGAAAAAGCUUAAAUUUUAUAGAAAGACGAGAAGACCCUAUAGAGUUUUAUAAUUAAUAUUUUUAUGAAUUUUUUGUUUUUAUUUUUUUUGAGAGUUUUAAUUAUUUUGUUGGGGUGAUAUAAAAAUUUAACUAACUUUUUAUUUAUUUAAACAUUUAUUUAUGGAUUUUUGAUCCUUUAAUUUGGAUUAUAAGAUAAAAUUACCUUAGGGAUAACAGCGUAAUUUUUCUGGAAAGUUCUUAUUUAUAGAAAAGUUUGCGACCUCGAUGUUGGAUUAAAAUUAAUUUUUGGUGUAGAAGCUGAAAUAUUAGGUCUGUUCGACCUUUAAAAUUUUACAUGAUCU